CACGUAGGAGGCAAACGUUAUCCGGAUUUACUGGGCGUAAAGCGCGUGUAGGUGGUUCUGUAAGUAGGGCGUGAAAGCUCCCGGCUCAACUGGGAGAGGCCGUUCUAAACUGCAGAGCUAGAGGAUGGUAGAGGGAGGUGGAAUUCCAGGUGUAGCGGUGGAAUGCGCAGAUAUCUGGAGGAACACCAGUGGCGAAGGUGGCCUCCUGGACCAUUCCUGACACUCAGACGCGAAAGCUAGGGUAGCAAACGGGAUUAGAUACCUGCGUAGU
rnacentral:rRNA from 1 species